UACCGAUGCCGGGAAUCGAACCCGGGCCUUGCGGGUGUGAGAGCCGCAAAUCCUAACCACUAGACCACAUCGGA